rnacentral:lncRNA from 1 species
UUUAUGGAAACAGGAAACGAAUAUAAAAGAAUAGAAAAGCUAAGAGGCACAUAAAAUAAACAUUGGAAAAAGAAAACGACAGAAUCUGGACUCGAAGCUAGGAAGAAAGAAAGAACCAAAACUCUGUUCAGGCCAAUCAUCAGUAAUGGAGAAAACUCUGUAAUGCUCCACUCACUCUGAUCUCCCCGCCUCCUCCACCA